rnacentral:rRNA from 1 species
AGUGAACGCUGGCGGUAGGCCUAACACAUGCAAGUCGAACGGCAGCACAGUAAGAGCUUGCUCUUACGGGUGGCGAGUGGCGGACGGGUGAGGAAUACAUCGGAAUCUACUUUUUCGUGGGGGAUCACGUAGGGAAACUUACGCUAAUACCGCAUACGACCUACGGGUGAAAGCAUGGGAUCUUCGGACCUUGCGCGAUUGAAUGAGCCGAUGUCGGAUUAGCUAGUUGGCGGGGUAAAGGCCCACCAAGUCGACGAUCCGUAGCUGGUCUGAGAGGAGGGUCGGCCACACGAGAACGUAGACACGGUCCAGAGGACUAAGGGAGGCAGCAGUGGGGAAUAUUGGGCAAUGGGCGGAAGUCUGAUCCAGCGAUACCGCGUGGGUGAAGAAGGCCUUCGGGUUGGAAAGCCCUUUUGUUGGGAAAGAAAAGCAGCAGGUUAAUACCACGCUGUUCUGACGGUAACCAAAGAAUAAGCGCCGGCUAACUUCGUG